rnacentral:rRNA from 1 species
UACGUAGGGGGCGAGCGUUGUCCGGAGUUACUGGGCGUAAAGGGUGCGUAGGCGGCCCACUAAGUCAGGUGUGAAAAACCCUGGCUCAACCGGGGUAUUGCACUUGAAACUGGUGGGCUUGAGUGCAGGAGAGGGAAGUGGAAUUCCUGGUGUAGCGGUGAAAUGCGUAGAUAUCAGGAGGAACACCAGUGGCGAAGGCGGCUUCCUGGCCUGUAACUGACGCUGAGGCACGAAAGCGUGGGGAGCAAAC